rnacentral:misc_RNA from 1 species
UCACCCCUCAAGCCCCCGGCUUGGCGUUGGAGCCUCCGUGUCGGCACGGAAUCUCUCAAAGACAAUGACGGCGGCCUCGUGGGUUCCCGGUACACUGAGCUUCUUAACCGAGCACGUACUGAUGGAUCUCCGGGGCAGACGGUCUCCCUCCGCGAGGAGAAAUUCUAA